AUUGAACGCUAGCGGCAGGCUUAAUACAUGCAAGUCGAGGGGCAGCAUGACUGUAGCAAUACAGUUGAUGGCGACCGGCAAACGGGUGCGGAACACGUACAGAACCUUCCUUUAAGUGGUGAAUAGCCCAGAGAAAUUUGGAUUAAUACACCGUAACAUAUAGAAUUGGCAUCAAUUUUAUAUUAUAGCUCCGGCGCUUAAAGAUGGCUGUGCGGCUGAUUAGGUAGUUGGCGGGGUAACGGCCCACCAAGCCUACGAUCAGUAACUGGUGUGCGAGCACGACCAGUCACACGGUCACUGAGACACGGGUCCGACUCCUACGGGAGGAAGCAGUAAGGAAUAUUGGUCAAUGGACGCAAGUCUGAACCAGCCAUGCCGCGUGGAGGAUGAAGGUCCUCUGGAUUGUAAACUUCUUUUCUCUGGGGCGAAAACCUCCCAUUCUUGGGAGCUUGACAGUACCAGAGGAAUAAGCACCGGCUAACUCCGUGCCAGCCGCCGCCGUAACAC
rnacentral:rRNA from 1 species